rnacentral:rRNA from 1 species
GAGUGAACGCUGGCGGUAGGCCUAACACAUGCAAGUCGAACGGCAGCACAGUAAGAGCUUGCUCUUACGGGUGGCGAGUGGCGGACGGGUGCGGAAUACAUCGGAAUCUACUUUUUCGUGGGGGAUAACGUAGGGAAACUUACGCUAAUACCGCAUACGACCUACGGGUGAAAGCAGGGGAUCUUCGGACCUUGCGCGAUUGAAUGAGCCGAUGUCGGAUUAGCUAGUUGGCGGGGUAAAGGCCCACCAAGGCGACGAUCCGUAGCUGGUCUGAGAGGAUGAUCAGCCACACUGGAACUGAGACACGGUCCAGACUCCUACGGGAGGCAGCAGUGGGGAAUAUUGGACAAUGGGCGCAAGCCUGAUCCAGCCAUACCGCGUGGGUGAAGAAGGCCUUCGGGUUGUAAAGCCCUUUUGUUGGGAAAGAAAAGCAGCAGGUUAAUACCCCGCUGUUCUGACGGUACCCAAAGAAUAAGCACCGGCUAACUUCGUG